UACGUAGGGUGCGAGCGUUAAUCGGAAUUACUGGGCGUAAAGCGUGCGCAGGCGGUUGGUUAAGUCUGAUGUGAAAGCCCCGGGCUCAACCUGGGAAUGGCAUUGGAAACUGGUCAGCUGGAGUGUGGCAGAGGGGGGUGGAAUUCCGCGUGUAGCAGUGAAAUGCGUAGAGAUGCGGAGGAACACCGAUGGCGAAGGCAGCCCCCUGGGCCAACACUGACGCUCAGGCACGAAAGCGUGGGUAGCAAACAGG
rnacentral:rRNA from 1 species